UACGUAGGGACCGAGCGUUGUCCGGAAUCAUUGGGCGUAAAGAGCGUGUAGGCGGCCACUUAAGUCCUGCGUGAAAUCUUGCGGCUCAACCGCAAGCGGUCGUGGGAAACUGGGUGGCUAGAGUUCGGUAGGGGAGUCUGGAAUUCCUGGUGUAGCGGUGAAAUGCGCAGAUAUCAGGAGGAACACCGGUGGCGAAGGCGGGACUCUGGGCCGUAACUGACGCCGAGGAGCGAAAGCGUGGGGAGCGAACAGG
rnacentral:rRNA from 1 species